rnacentral:lncRNA from 1 species
UCGGAUUUUAUCCUAUAAACAACCUACAACCCGGUUCAGGAUAACUUUCCAUGCGAGUAUAUUAUCUACGUUUUGACGGCUAUAGAUAAUAUAUCUCAUGCACUCUCUUGUCGAACACUUUGUUUGUUUCCCCAACUGAGUAAGAUUUGCAUUCUUUACAGAAUCAAAUAUCCAUCCUAUAAACAAGUUUGCUUUCGCUCUCUUCAGGAUGAUGAGUGUUUUG